rnacentral:tRNA from 8 species
GCGGAAAUAGCUCAGUUGGUAGAGCAUCACCUUGCCAAGGUGGGGGUCGCGAGUUCGAGUCUCGUUUUCCGCUCCA